UCAGGCUUAUCUUUCACUCUGUCCUGCCUUCUUAUUUCACUUGUUUUAAACCUAGCGCUACUGUCUCUAGUUCUCCAACUCAUGAACCUUUACACUCAUUGCAUUCCUAAACUUCUUACUUUACUUCUAUGCAUUCCUAAACUUCUUACUUCACUUCUAUAAUUACUGAUCGGGGUCCUUUACUUCACCUGUUAGUAUGCCUUAUGGAACUUGAACCCAGUCUUGACUGCCUGUUAGCCCGCCCCCUGUCCCCCUACGAGAUUAGAAUGAAAUUACUCAAUAACAGACUGACCUUUGACCUUACGCGCCUCAACUAUAUUAUUUAGAUCCUAUUUGAUUUACUUGUUUUCAUCCUUUAGCAUUGUGGGCGACCUUCGAUUGAAUACCUAGCUGCUAGCUUUGAAACCCCUAUCUCAUUAUUACUAUCAUGAGACUAUUGGUCUGCCCUACUUAUGAGUUUUGUUCUGACUUCUGUUAGGGAUGUUAUUUGACUUAACGAUAACCAAUGGGGCAAUGCAACAGGGAUGUGACUUAACGAUAACUCAUAGGGAUGUUAUUUGUACGCCGCAACUGAUCUACAAUAAAUAGAAAAGCACUAUGGUUUUUUAUACAGUAUAGCUAAGCAAACUACUAGCAAAUCCUCUAUAAGAAAAACACAUGAAAACAUACAUCACAUGAGAAAUAUAAGAACACGGAAUCAUGACAUUAAUAUAAGUCAAGGGAAUACGGAAAGCAAGACUCAAAGACAGGGCCAAGCAACGGCGUGUAGUAAGAGGAAGAAUAAGUCAAACAACCACAUAUAUGUGAAUUAAUGUUUGCAUUAUGAGAAGUUAACUGAAUGAGAAUACUAAUCUGAAAAGAAAGAAUCAAAAGCAAAGAGAGGUGGACUAAAACAAUGGAAUAGGAAACAAACUCAGUAGAAGCAAUCAAACUAUGAUUUCUAAGGAGAAAGCCCCAGAGCACAAUUAGAACUUGAAUCUUGGCCAAGCAAUGGCUAACGACAUUGGUACGACAGAGUGAGAUAAAGCAACGGGGGUACUAAAAGAAGAAAAGAAUGUUAACUUCAAACUAAUGGAAAGAAUAGAACUGCAGCUGAUGAGACUGUAGCUAAUGAC
rnacentral:lncRNA from 1 species